GGGAAGGUGAGUAAAGCUCUUGGAGCCAGCGCUGCAUUCACAGAUGGCUAGGGCUCUUGGCAAGCCAGCCAUGGUCACUACCCAAACUCCUCCCCUUGCCUCUUCUCACUUGGUUCCUGGGCUCUGCCUUGUCUGUACCAGUGUCCUGGUGCUGCUGUCAACUGCUGCCUCUUGUCCUGCUCACUCCUGAGAGGUUCCCAGUGACUUCCUCCUUUCACACUACUUCACUGGAAGCAACACAGGGAAGGGACAGGAAAGGAAGAACAAAAGAGAGGACAGAGACCAGGGAUGCUCAGCACACUGUACGCAAGAGAAACACGAAGUUGAGAAGAACCAAGACAAGUGACUUUUGAGUGAAUUGACAUUGAUAUUGCUCGAACAUGAAAAUGGUAUUAGAGAAAAAUUUCUGGAAAGCAAAUUGCAGAUUCUGCAAAACUCAGUAUGUUAAAAAAAUAUGCAUUUUUGCUGAAUAAAAUGAAUUGAUAAGUCAUCUUAUUCUGUAUUCCCAA